UAGGGGGUGGCAGAGCGGAAAUGCGCUGGACUCGAGAUCCAGUGGCCCCUCGGGGCCGCGUGGGUUCAAAUCCCACCCCCGGCGCCA
rnacentral:tRNA from 1 species